ensembl:lncRNA
CAGGUAUAUGCACAGCACAGGCACACACACACAGGUAUAUGCACAGCACGGGCACACACACAGGUAUAUGCACAGCACGGGCACACAUACACAGGUAUAUGCACAGCACGGGCACACACACACAGGUAUAUGCACAGCACGGGCACACACACAGGUAUAUGCACAGCACGGGCACACACACACAGGUAUUUGCACGGGCACACACACACAGGUAUAUGCACAGCACGGGCACACACAGGUAUACGCACAGACACUAUGCAGACAUACACAGGGAUGGAGGUAUGAUUAAUUCCCUGUUGGAUCAACCAAGUGCUGUAGAUAUCAAUCUUUUCAUUUUGAACUACAGCAGAAUUGUUUCAAGUCACCCAAUUGAGCGCUGCAUUAUAUUACUAUGGGAUUAAACAAUUAUUACGUUUUCUUGCAAUGUUAACUCAAAAGUUAGAAAAUGGCCAAAUGAAAUGCUGUUUUGUAUUUUCCUCAAACUGGACCGUCCCAAACAUGACUAAUCUACAUCAAACAGCCUCUGUGAGUUGAAGCAGUGACUAGCUUUCAAGUCUUUGAAGAUAUUUCUGAAAAUACUCUCCUAAAUCUGUAUCUCCUGAGAAGCUGUGCUAGCAGUGGGUUUUCUGUUGACUUUGUGCUUAGCCUGGAGUCUUUAAGUGUAGUGCUGCGGCUGCCUCCCCCAACCUCUCCUUAAGCCCUUCUGUGGCUUCAAUUCAGUUCCUGUCUGGCUUGCGGGUGAGGUUAAAAUUGCUAUUCUUAAUCUUUAAGUACCUCUGAUAUCAGCCAGGGAUUUUUAAUAAAACUCACUGUGACCUAAAGGCUUUAUAAAACACCCACCUUUUCUGUUUUCAUAUCUGGCCAUUCUAGUUUCAUUACUUCAUUCAAAGUAUUAUAAUGUCAAGUAAGGCCAAACCAAGCCUCCUGAUGAUCUCUUCUACUGUCUAAUUUGUUUGAAUGAAAUGUAGCCCUAUGGGUGUUUUCAUCCGUGU